GCAAAGAGAGAUACACACACAGGGCUGAGUAUACGAAUAUCUUUAUUGGAGCAUUGUGUUCAGAUGCAUUGUGUGAUGUGAAGUUAACACCCAUUGAAGAUCUGCUAGGAUUGCAGGAAGGAGAUCGUGCUGCCAGUUGUGUCGGAUGUCAGUUAUCUGGAAAAGAAGUGGAAAGAUCCAGUGUUAAUGAAAGUGUGAGUACACUGAAAUAUCCAUCGUGUCAACAGUUACUUUGCAAGUGUGGAAUAUCCAUAUACCUCUUGUGAGUUGUGACCAGUGUGAGCGGCCCCACCGUAAUAGGAUUGGGGGGUGAGCCGGGACCAGCAAAAAAAGGAGUCUGGUGCCUUGUUGUGGCUGAGAUCGUUUCCUCUGGCCAUCUGUUGCAUCGGUGCCCCCAACGUCCAGGAACUAAUCCCCGGUCCUAUGUGGUUUUGACCCUAAUUCACUGUGAGUGUGUGGAGUGCAGUGGGCUGGGAGAGAAAACCCUGUGGAGAAGAACGUGCACCGGUGUUGCGAGACGACCAUCUUUUAUAUACAUGCCUGCUCGUGGCUUUGGACCCCUACUCCGCCGAGUGGUGACGUGUCAACAAUAGCAAAUCUCUGGUCCGUUGUCUGGAAGAGAGGAGAGGGAAG